ensembl:lncRNA
AGCGAUGCCCCUAUGGGCAAAGCUUCAUGAUAUAGAACUUUACUGUAUUUAAAAACCGCUGUGUCCGUAGAUGGCGCUAUAGCGAAUUGCACGUAAUGCAAGACAGUCACCAUUUGGACCCCACACUGUUGUACAGUGAAAACUAGAAGGAACAUUCAUUUUAGCGACUUGGUUCUCUCGUCAACUCUUGUUGUAUAAGGUAUAAGCUAUAUGCUCUGAAUUGGACAAUACAACAUGUGGAUUAUCACAUUGUUUUACUACAAUUUGAUGAACUCCCGAAACAAACGAAAAUCAAGGAUUUUUUGGACAUCAGACUGAAAAUUGUUGAACGCCAAGUCACCUACAUCUAUGAUCAUAUAGUUUUCUGUAGUUUUGUUCCCAGAGGAGGAUGACUGUGUGGCAGUAGUUCCACGUCUGUUGUUCAAAGGGGGACUUUGCUACUGGCCAUCACCAGCAGGAAGUCCUUCAGCCACGACAAGUUUGCCAGAACUUGAGAGACCGGACGUGAUGACGUUUUCUGUAGUUUUGUUCCCGGAGGAGGAUGACUGUGUGGCAGCAGUUCCACGCCAGGUAUGUGAAUUACAUGUUGAUCUCGUAAUUGCUGCAAUGUUUACUUUUAUGUUAAUUUUUAGGAUGGAGCAAGCACAGUACUCCAUGGCACCAGAGAGGUACUCCACGCCACCAUGUAGAGGAUGGCUACAUAGUAUGUCAUGCCGAGGGCACAGCUGGCUCUACAAUCAGUAUUACAGGAGCCAUAAGAGAAUCUUUCCAACCGGGACGCCACUGAUGAGGCUGUCCAGAAUCAGGUCCCCAGGUACCAGAAAGCG